GGUUAGGUAGCUCAGUUGGUAGAGCAAAGGACUGAAAAUCCUUGUGUCGGGGGUCCGAUUCCCUCCCUAACCACCA
rnacentral:tRNA from 1 species